rnacentral:rRNA from 1 species
AUGCAAGGUAAAAAGAAGUCUGUUUCUGUUGUGUCUGCCGCCAAUAGUUCCAAGCCAAUUGUUGCCAUGCUACGAAGAACACCCGAGGAUCUUGUAGAUGAAAGACGCUCUGGGUGUUCUCAAAGCACCAUGGAGUCCAGCACAAAGACUCCAGAAGAGAGGCAGUAUGUCAAUAUGCAGUGGGCAUUGUUCUUUUACGAGUGUGGCAUUCCAUUCAACGCUGCAAGUAGUAGGCAGUUUGAGGUUGCAAUUGAAGCCUCUUGUCAAUAUGGGUCAGGUUACAAGCCUCCUAGUGCACAUGAGCUGAGAGAGAAAUUGCUUAAUGAUUGUGUGAAGGAAACAGGACUUUUGAGGAGGCAACACGAGGCAGCAUGGAAAAAAUAUGGAUGCACACUCAUGUCGGAUGGCUGGUCGGAUAAAAGAGGACGCCAUUUGAUUAACUUCCUUAUUAAUAGUCCAGAGGGCACUUUCUUCUUGGAGUCGGUUGAUGCCUCAAGUGUAUGUCAUGAUGGUGAUAUGAUAGCUGAUUUGCUUGAGAAGAGAAUUCUGGAUGUUGGAAAAGAGAAUGUGGUACAAGUUAUCACCGAUAAUGGUGCUAAUUACAAGAAAGCUGGCCACCUUCUAAUGGAGAGGAUGCCUACUCUAUAUUGGAGCCCAUGUGCAUGUCAUUGCUUGGACCUAAUGUUGGAAGAUAUAGGAAAGUUAAAGGCAUUUAAGAAGCCUAUUGCAGGGGCUAGACGUGUCACAACUUUCAUCUAUAGACAUGGAAGACUUCUUAGUCUAAUGAGGAAGGCCACGGGUGGGGAUCUUGUGAGACCAGCAGCCACUCGUUUUGCCACAGCCAUCCUCACACUUAGGAGUUUGGUCAAGAACAAGGCUGCAUUGAGGAGUUUAUUUACAUCUGAAGAAUGGGUUGGAAACAAGUUAGCAAAAACACAAGUUGGCUUGAAUGUGCAAGAGAUUAUACUUUCAACGGAGUGGUGGAGCGCAAUUGAGGACUGCCUUAGAGCUUCAACUCCACUUCUUAGAGUUCUUAGAGUAGCAGAUGGUGAUGAGAAGCCUGCCAUGCCAGAGAUUAAAGCACUUAUGAUUUAUGCAAAGGAGAGGAUCAAUCUAGGUUUCCCUCAACAAAACAAGCAACCAUUGCUCAAGAAGAUCUUGGCCAUUGUUGAUAAGCGUUGGGAGAAUCAAAUGGAUCAUCCAUUGUAUGGGGCUGCUCUAUUUUUGAACCGAGGAAAGUUCUUUCCUAUUGUAAGCAGAAAUGAUGAUGCCUUAGUUGGGGAGCUUAGGAGCUGCUUUAAUGAUGUGCUUGCAAAAAUGGUACCGGAUGCCAAUGUUCAAAAAAAGAUUGAUCAACAAUCUGUGCUCUAUGAGCAACAGCGAGAAAGCUUUUCUAAUCCAUUGGCACUCGAGACCAUGAGCACAAGAAACCCUCUUGAUUGGUGGAGUUCAUUUGGUGGUCGGGCCAUUGACCUACAAAGGUUUGCAAAGCGCAUUGUUAGUCUUUGUGCUUCAUCAUCUGGUUGUGAGAGGAAUUGGAGCACGUUUGAAUUUAUCCAUACAAAGAAAAGGAACAGAUUACAAUGGAAAAGGUUGAAUGAUCUUGUCUUUGUUUCAUACAACCGGAAGAAUAUGCAACGGUUUCAAAAGAGGCGUGAGAAGGUGGGCGAGAAUAGCUUUGAGGCUUUGGUCAUUGAGGAUUUUGAUUGGGGCAAUGAGUGGGUGGACCCAUCACUAUCACAACCUCAAGGUGCUCGAGGUUGUCCUGAAGACAAUCAAGACAUUACAUGGGAGGAUGUUGAUGUGGCUAUUGGUGCAUCUUCAAACCUUCGAGGCCGCAAUCUGCAUAGGACAGCAACUACACUUCGUAGGGGCCAGACAAAUGUCCGUCUGCAGUACGCACGCAAGAGACCUACUACAACACGACCUAUAAUUCCUGAAGAAGAUGAGGUAGAGGAGGACUUGGAGCAAGAGCAACACUCAAGUAUGCCCAAUGCGGAGGGGGAGGAUUCAGACUACGUUGAGGAUGAUGAUGAUGUGAGCAAUGACGAUCAAGAGCCAACUAAUGUUGACCAAGAUGGUGAAGAUAACACCAAUGCCAAUGAGUUUGAUGAUGAUGACUUUUGA